AUAGCGUAUAUUAAAGUUGUUGCGGUUAAAACGCCCGUAGUUGGAUCAGCGGAUUUGGAGAACGGUCACCCGAUGGGCUGUACUGUUCUCCUGUCCUAAUUUCUCUAGUUCGCUCUAGGUGCUCUUCACUGAGUGUCUAGAGUGGCUGGAACUUUUACUUUGAAAAAAUUAGAGUGCUCAAAGCAGGCGUCUCAGCCUGAAUAGUGGUGCAUGGAAUAAUGGAAUAGGACCUCAGUUCUAUUUUGUUGGUUUUCGGAGCAUGAGGUAAUGAUUAAGAGGGACAGACGGGGGCAUUCGUAUUGCGACGUUAGAGGUGAAAUUCUUGGAUCGUCGCAAGACGAACUACUG
rnacentral:rRNA from 1 species